rnacentral:rRNA from 1 species
GACGAGGGGUCCAAGCGUUGUCCGGAAUUAUUGGGCGUAAAGAGCUCGUAGGCGGUCUGUUGCGUCCGCUGUGAAAACUCGGGGCUUAACCCCCGAGCCUGCAGUGGAUACGGGCAGACUAGAGGUAGGUAGGGGAGAAUGGAAUUCCCGGUGUAGCGGUGAAAAUGCUUAGAUAUGACACAGAACACCGAUUGCGAAGGCAGCUCUCAAAAACUGUAACUGACGCUGAGGCACGAAAGCGUGGGUAUCAAACAGG